AAAUCAGAAUAAACUUUAUCCAAGAUCCAUGCACACCCCCCUUUCUGUCACUCUCUUCCUCUCUCGCAGCCUUAGCACUGCCGGCCUCCUAUGCCCCAUGUUCACCGGUUUGCUCUCGUCGUCGCUCUAGUCGCCAUCGAAUGUCUGUCGUCUAUGCCAUCUGUAGCCGUUCAUCAUCGGUAAGUCUUCCCUCUCUUUCAAUCUCUCCCUGAUCUCAUAGCUCUCUCUCCUAGGCCCUCUUCUUCUCCGAUUGUCGAAGGCGGUCCAUCUUUGACAUUAGAACCUUCGCUGCUGUUCAAUUCUGCAUUGUCGCUGCUUAGUCUUGCGUCACCACUGCUCGAUUUCAUGCCACCACUGCUCGCCAUCGUUUUGGGUGUUGGAUUUGGUUUGCCCAUGAUAUUUGGAGGCUAUGUUUGAGUUUUCGAAGCAUUUCGAUGUGCUGUUUAUUGGGUUAUUGGUGGUUUCGACAAGUUUUCGAUUAGUCUUAAAGGUUUCAAGAUCCUCUUUGACUGUUUUAUGUUGCUGUAAAUUGGGUUUAUAACCCUUAAAUGGGGUUGUGUGUAGGUUUGAUUACUACUAUGAGGUUGGGAAUCUAGCUUGGUUCAGGCCUCAAAUUAGUAAGUAUUUUGAGAUCUUUAGGAUGACUUUUGUUCGGUUUCGGACCCGAAAUAUCUAAGUUAAUUUCAGUUUAUGUUUAGGGUUGCUUCAA